AUUGAACGCUGGCGGCAUGCUUUACACAUGCAAGUCGAACGGUAACAGGCCUUCGGGUGCUGACGAGUGGCGAACGGGUGGGUAAUGCAUCGGAACGUACCCAGAGGUGGGGGAUAACGCAGCGAAAGCUGUGCUAAUACCGCAUGUGAUCUGAGGAUGAAAGCGGGGGACCGAGCAGCAAUGUUUGGCCUCGCGCCUUUGGAGCGGCCGAUGUCGGAUUAGCUAGUUGGUGGGGUAAAGGCCUACCAAGGCGACGAUCCGUAGCUGGUCUGAGAGGACGACCAGCCACACUGGGACUGAGACACGGCCCAGACUCCUACGGGAGGCAGCAGUGGGGAAUUUUGGACAAUGGCCGCAAGCCUGAUCCAGCAAGGCCGCGUGCGGGAAGAAGGCCUUCGGGUUGUAAGCCGCUUUUGGCAGGAACGAAACGGUGUCCGCUAAUACCGGGCGCUAAUGACGGUACCCGCAGAAUAAGCACCGGCUAACUACGUG
rnacentral:rRNA from 1 species